GCUGGCGGCGUGCCUAAUACAUGCAAGUCGAGCGAAUCWUUGGGAGCUUGCUCCCAUUGGUUAGCGGCGGACGGGUGAGUAACACGUGGGCAACCUGCCUGUAAGACUGGGAUAACUUCGGGAAACCGGAGCUAAUACCGGAUAAUUCUNNNCCUCUCAUGAGGAAAAGCUGAAAGUCGGUUUCGGCUGUCACUUACAGAUGGGCCCGCGGCGCAUUAGCUAGUUGGUGAGGUAACGGCUCACCAAGGCGACGAUGCGUAGCCGACCUGAGAGGGUGAUCGGCCACACUGGGACUGAGACACGGCCCAGACUCCUACGGGAGGCAGCAGUAGGGAAUCUUCCACAAUGGACGAAAGUCUGAUGGAGCAACGCCGCGUGAGCGAUGAAGGCCUUCGGGUCGUAAAGCUCUGUUGUUGGGAAGAACAAGUACCGGAGUAACUGCCGGUACCUUGACGGUACCUAACCAGAAAGCCACGGCUAACUACGUGCCAGCAGCCGCGGUAAUAC
rnacentral:rRNA from 1 species